rnacentral:rRNA from 1 species
UGGGGAAUAUUGCACAAUGGAGGGAACUCUGAUGCAGCGACGCCGCGUGAGUGAUGAAGGAAUUCGUUUCGUAAAACUCUGUUCUAUGGGAAGAAAAGGACUGUACCAUAGGAGAAAGCUCCGGCUAAAUACGUGCCAGCAGCCGCGGUAAUACGUAUGGGGCUAGCGUUGUCCGGAAUCACUGGGCGUAAAGGGUUCGCAGGCGGAAAUGCAAGUCAGGUGUAAAAGGCAGUAGCUUAACUACUGUAAGCAUUUGAAACUGCAUAUCUUGAGAAGAGUAGAGGUAAGUGGAAUUUUUAGUGUAGCGGUGAAAUGCGUAGAUAUUAAAAAGAAUACCGGUGGCGAAGGCGACUUACUGGGCUCAUUCUGACGCUGAGGAACGAAAGCGUGGGUAGCAAACAGG